rnacentral:rRNA from 1 species
UACGAAGGGUGCAAACGUUGUUCGGAUUUACUGGGCGUAAAGGGCGCGUAGGCGGCCUCCGCAAGUCAGUUGUGAAAUCUCCGGGCUUAACCCGGAAAGGUCAACUGAUACUGCGGGGCUAGAGUGCAGAAGGGGCAACCGGAAUUCUCGGUGUAGCGGUGAAAUGCGUAGAUAUCGAGAGGAACACCUGCGGCGAAGGCGGGUUGCUGGGCUGACACUGACGCUGAAGCGCGAAAGCUAGGGGAGCGAACGGG